AGGGAGGUAGUGACAAUAAAUAAUAAUACUGGGCUUAUACAAGUCUAGUAAUUGGAAUGAGUACAAUCUAAAUCUCUGGAUGAGGAUCCAUUGGAGGGCAAGUCUGGUGCCAGCAGCCGCAAUAAUUCUAGCUCCAACAGUGUGUCCAAAUCAAAGUUGUUGCAAUUAAAAGCUCGUAGUUGGAUCUCAGGCGAGCAGUCCGCCUUGCGUGUGUGCAUUGGUUGCUCCACUCUUUCAGUUGGGGACGCUGCCCUGGCCUUCAUUGGCCAGGGCGCAGAAUAGGCGAUGUUGCUUUGUAAAAAUUAGAGUGCUCAAAGCAGGCAGUUGCUUUGAAUACGUUAGCAUGGAAUAAUGCUAUAGGACUCGUGUCCUGUUGUGUUGGUCUUCGGGAUGGGAGUAAUGAUUAAUAGGACAGUUGGGGGAAUUCGUACUCCAUUUUUCAGAAGUGAAAUCUUGGAUUUAUGGAAGAUGAACUACUGCGAAAGCAUUUGCCAAGGAUGUUUUCAUUAAUCAAGAAUGAAAGUUGGGGGCUCGAAGACGAUCAGAUACCGUCCUAGUCCAACCAUAAACGAUGCCGAAUAGGGAUCGACAGAUGUUAUUUGGACGACAUGAGAAAUCAAAGUCUUUGGGUUCCGGGGGAGUAAAACUUGACAGAAUUGACGCAAGGGCACCACCGGGAGUGCGAUAACCUGCGGCUUAAUUUUUACGGCUCAACACGGGGAAACUCGGGAGGCACCAGACAUAGUAAGGAUUGACAGAUUGAGAGCUCUUUAGAUUCUAUGGGUGGUGGUGCAUGGCCGUUCUUAGUUGGUGGAGUGAUUUGUCUGGUUAAUUCUGUUAACAAAUGAGACCUUAGCCUACUAACUAGCUACGCAUAGGUUUGCCUUCACGGCUAGCUUCUUAGAGGGACUAUUCGCUCCCAAUGGAUGGAAGUUUAAGGCAAUAAUAGGUAUGUGAUGCCCUUGGACGUUCUGGGCUUGGUUUGCGCUACAUUGAUGAAUUCAACUAGUGCAUGCCUUGGCCGAAAGGCCUAGGUAAUCUUCUCAAAUUUCAUCGUGAUGGGGACAGACCAUUACAAUUAUUGAUCUUCAACGAGGAAUUCCUAGUAAGCACAAGUCACCAUCUCGCGUUGACUACGUCCCUACCUUUGUACACACUGCCCAUCGCUCCUACCGAUUGAAUGGUCCAGUGGACCUUGUUACGACUUGUCACUUAGGAAAAGGACAAGUUGUAACAAGGAUUCCGUAGGCGAAGCUGUAGAAGGAUCAUUGACA
rnacentral:rRNA from 1 species